GCCAUAACCUGCGGCCUCCCAGCCGCCUCUCAGCCGAGGAACUGAGGAGUUUAAAAGCUGCUAGAGACUCCCUCGCUGGCUGUAAGCCGUGAGCAGGCCUGAUUCAGCCGUCUCCCUGCAUAUUGCUGCAGGUUUGGAACAUGUGAGGAGCUGCCAGAGGAAUCACUAAUAUUUUCAUUUCUGCUUCUUCAGCUCCACCUAUUUUUUUCUGUCCUGGAGUUUCAGCUGUAUUUAAUAAGGUCUGGAUGAAGAUGGAGACUGGAAGAGUCAAGAGAUGAAAUGGGGACAAGUGCUUGACCACUGGAGGCUGGUGGCACAGGAUGUGGGAAUGCACCAUGGAGAGAGCAGUGGCUUCCCUGCUCAGUUCCAACUGCAGAAGACAUUGUGAGGACAGACCAUCAAAAGUAAGUGUGACGCUCGCUGGUGCUGGACGCAGCCUGCUGUGGGACAGGCAAUAUCACGCAGCCAAGAUGGUGGCAUUUAAUUGGAAGGUGAGGAUGUUUCACAUUCAUAAAGCAGUGAAUUUCUGCUCUUUCAAGCAAAUGCAUGUAAGGUCUGGGUGGGGUGGGUCCUGUGUUUAUAAAGAUGGCUUUGUUGCCUAG
rnacentral:lncRNA from 1 species